AGCGACGGCAGCCACCCAAGGAGCCAGCAGGACGGUGCGGCCACCCCGGGUAUCCCGGCCCCAGCACCGCGCUCCCGGUUGGAAAUGCCAGUCCCACGAGAAGGCCCAGUCCGGGGUGCCCACUCUGGGCAGGCUUGGCCUCCUCGUCCAGCUCUCCUAGACCAGCAAUUAGUCGGGUUUAUAACCUGCUUUGAAGCUCAGGCCUAUAAUCAUUAGAUCCAAGCAAAGGCAAAGGAGCACCCGAUGGCCCAGGGCAGUGAGGUUUGGAAAAGUGUUCUCUGCGCUUGGACAGGUCGCCCCCCACCAUGCUGCAUCCUCUUCCCAAACCCUGCAUCCUGGAUCACUCUCUUGAGCCUCCUCUUGAACAAGUGCUGCCUGACACAGGUCCGGAUGGGAGCAGCUUGCUCCAACCAACCUGAUGGCCCCCCGUCCCACAGCCUGAUGCCAUCGGACAGCAGGACAGGCCCACAGCCUCUGAGAAAGAGGAACGCACAGGAAACGGAGUGGGGUGGGUGAAUCCCCCAGCCUGGUGCGGGGAGGCAGAGCUGGAAGGUCAAACCCUGCUUUGCUGCUUUGUCAGCAAACAUUUACAGGACACCUCCUCGUAGCAGUUUCACACCAAGACAUCUGCUCUGCAAAUCUCUGUUGCCACUGUGGGAAGGAAAGCUGUUAGUCUCGUGUAAAUCUAAAAAUGGGAAGUGUUGGUAUUUGUCCCUGUUCCCCAGACUUCAUCGCCAAGUGGAUAUUUGUGGUUCAGUGAUCCACUCAAAAACAAGAUGGGGAGAUGCAAGACAGAAAGUGGAGAGAAGAGUUAUGUGUUGAGUACCAGAUGCCAGAGGCUGAGCUGAGCUGGGCAAUUUACACACAUCAUCUCAGUUAAUCUUCACGAAACAGAUGCUGGUUGCUGUAAAUACCACUGAGGAACUUUAAUGUGCCCCAGAUGUAGAAGCCUCUAGUGACCUAAAUACACAAACAGGGACUAAAGAGAACCAAGUAAAAGAUUCAAGAUUUCAAGUGUAAGCGGAGAGAUACUGCUUCAAAGUGGAAGAGACCAAACCUUCACCACCAAAGGAAUGUGAACUAGUAAGUUGAGUCCAAAGAUAAAAGCUAAAGACUUGAUAAGAGCCAGAAAAGCAGAGUGCCUGGUCUCUGCUAGAAUGACUCAGCACCCUCGCAGUUAGGCUGGAAGCCCUUUCAGCCUCUUCAAGAGCUGCUUUUCCUGGCCUGAUAAUGAGC
rnacentral:lncRNA from 1 species